UACGUAGGGUGCGAGCGUUGUCCGGAAUUAUUGGGCGUAAAGAGCUCGUAGGCGGCCUGUCGCGUCGGCUGUGAAAACCCGGAGCUCAACUCCGGGCCUGCAGUCGAUACGGGCAGACUGGAGUUCGGCAGGGGAGACUGGAAUUCCUGGUGUAGCGGUGAAAUGCGCAGAUAUCAGGAGGAACACCGGUGGCGAAGGCGGGUCUCUGGGCCGAUACUGACGCUGAGGAGCGAAAGCGUGGGGAGCGAACAGG
rnacentral:rRNA from 1 species